AACACAUCCAAGCAAGUCUUGAAUAUCUCCAAGCCUCUUCCAGUGUUCUGUCACCCUCACAGUCAAAAAAUUCUUUGUGUUUACUUGAAACUUCCUAUGCCUCAGCUUCCAGCCAUUGCCCCUUGUCCUGUCAUCAGGCAUCGCCAAGAAGAGCCUGGCUCCAUCCUCCUGGCACUCAUUUCUCCUUCUGUGCCAGAUGACCAAUCUCGAGUUGCAGUGAGCAUUCAGAAGUUCCUCACUAGAUGGCACCAACCGUUGCUGCUGCACGAAGCCCUGACCACUGCAGGUGCACUCCCUCAGAGCAUGUUACAACCUUCAGGAAAUCUGAUAAGGAGUUCAGGCUUGUAUCUUCCGAACCUGAAUUUUACUGUAGGGCUGGCAUCAGCUUCUGCCAUCACGUGGCCACCAGCAUUAGAAGGAAAUGGACUUCUGUAACCUAACCUGAAUGUUAUAAGCAAAUAAAGCAAACCUUUUCCAUGUGCCUUAA